rnacentral:rRNA from 1 species
CCUACGGGGGGUAGCAGUGGGGAAUAUUGGACAAUGGGGGGAACCCUGAUCCAGCCAUGCCGCGUGUGUGAAGAAGGCCCUCGGGUUGUAAAGCACUUUCAGUGAGGAAGAACGCCUGGUGGUUAAUACCCAUCAGGAAAGACAUCACUCACAGAAGAAGCACCGGCUAACUCCGUGCCAGCAGCCGCGGUAAUACGGAGGGUGCGAGCGUUAAUCGGAAUUACUGGGCGUAAAGCGCGCGUAGGUGGCUUGAUAAGCCGGUUGUGAAAGCCCCGGGCUCAACCUGGGAACGGCAUCCGGAACUGUCAAGCUAGAGUGCAGGAGAGGAAGGUAGAAUUCCCGGUGUAGCGGUGAAAUGCGUAGAGAUCGGGAGGAAUACCAGUGGCGAAGGCGGCCUUCUGGACUGACACUGACACUGAGGUGUGAAAGCGUGGGUAGCAAACAGGAUUAGAUACCCUUGUAGUC